GCCAAAAAAUAGAGGUUUUCAAAUGAAGUGAGGCCUUAUAUGCAAUGUAAUAUUUUUCACUUACCACAAUUUUCUGAAGUUGCUAAGUUAUAAAAAAACCUUUUACAUGUUAUAAAUGUACUUUUAAUGGAAAUAUAAGUUUCAAAUAGCAUAACACAUGUGAAUAAAAUGGUCUUCAGCAAUGUCAAGCUUAAAAAAACAGGUUGUCAAUUUAGGUCGUUCCCCACAUUUGCAUAUUAAAAAGCAUAUAAAUGAUAUGGGAGAUGAAGAUAUGCUUCUUUUUGCUCAAAUCUUUGCUCAGAUAUGAUAAAACAUGGAGCCUGGAUGUAACAAGACUGUCACUUUCAACUAUAUAUGUAGACAGUAUGAUCUAAUGCAAAGUUAUUUACUUUACUUUUUAAAACCGGCAUGAAAUUUCAGCCUCAAAAGGCCAAUAUUUUAACCACUAGCUAUCAAACAAAAGAAAAUAAAGGUAGUCUGUGAAACAGACAAGGUCAAACAACCAGUAAUAAGUGCUUUUGAUACAGUUUCAGUGAAAUCUGCUAAAAGGAAUUCAACUUGUAUGUGCAUAGAACCUCAUUUUUCACUUGCUUCAUACUGACCGUUAGACUAGGACCAUUAAAGCAGCACAUUUUGCACUCUUAUUCUGAUUUUAUCUACUUUUUUUGUAUGUUUAGUGUUCAAAAAUGAGUUAAACAUCUACAUUAGAUACCACAAACACAAGUAGAAAAUCAAGAAAAACCUGUGAGAGAGAAAGUAA